GGGGCAGCAACCCAACAACGGGUUGUCCGAUUCAUCUGAAAAUUUCGGGGCAGAUAGAUCUUGACCUGAUAAACAAUUUAACCCCCAUGUCAGAUUUGCUCUAAACGCUUUGGUUUUUGAGUUAUAAGCCAAAAACUGCAUUUUACCCCUAUGUUCUAUUUUUAGCCAUGGCGGCCAUCUUGGUUGGAUGGCCGGGUCAUCG
rnacentral:lncRNA from 1 species